CAGAGUUGCAAGACUCCCUAAACCAUUGUGAACCUACCUUCUACCGUUGCUUCUUCGGCGGGCGGGCCCAGCGCCCCCCCCCCGGCCCCCCGCGGGCGCCCGCCGGAGGAUACCCAAACUCUUGACAUUAGUGGCCUCUCUGAGUAUUCUUUACUGGAUAAGUCAA
rnacentral:misc_RNA from 1 species